AUUGAACGCUGGCGGCAUGCUUUACACAUGCAAGUCGAACGGUAACAGGCCUUCGGGCGCUGACGAGUGGCGAACGGGUGAGUAAUACAUCGGAACGUGCCCGAUCGUGGAGGAUAACGAAGCGAAAGCUUUGCUAAUACCGCAUAAGAUCUACGGGUGAAAGCAGGGGACCGCAAGGCCUUGCGCGAACGGAGCGGCCGAUGGCAGAUUAGGUAGUUGGUGGGAUAAAAGCUUACCAAGCCGACGAUCUGUAGCUGGUCUGAGAGGACGACCAGCCACACUGGGACUGAGACACGGCCCAGACUCCUACGGGAGGCAGCGGUGGGGAAUUUUGGACAAUGGGCGAAAGCCUGAUCCAGCCAUGCCGCGUGCAGGAUGAAGGCCUUCGGGUUGUAAACUGCUUUUGUACGGAACGAAGAGACUCUUUCUAAUAAAGAGGGUCCAUGACGGUACCGUAAGAAUAAGCACCGGCUAACUACGUGCCAGCAGCCGCAGUAAUAC
rnacentral:rRNA from 1 species